rnacentral:rRNA from 1 species
CCUACGGGUGGCAGCAGUGGGGAAUAUUGGACAAUGGGGGGAACCCUGAUCCAGCCAUGCCGCGUGUGUGAAGAAGGCCCUCGGGUUGUAAAGCACUUUCAGUGAGGAAGAACGCCUGGUGGUUAAUACCCAUCAGGAAAGACAUCACUCACAGAAGAAGCACCGGCUAACUCCGUGCCAGCAGCCGCGGUAAUACGGAGGGUGCGAGCGUUAAUCGGAAUUACUGGGCGUAAAGCGCGCGUAGGUGGCUUGAUAAGCCGGUUGUGAAAGCCCCGGGCUCAACCUGGGAACGGCAUCCGGAACUGUCAAGCUAGAGUGCAGGAGAGGAAGGUAGAAUUCCCGGUGUAGCGGUGAAAUGCGUAGAGAUCGGGAGGAAUACCAGUGGCGAAGGCGGCCUUGUGGACUGACACUGACACUGAGGUGCGAAAGCGUGGGUAGCAAACAGGAUUAGAUACCCGUGUAGUC